rnacentral:rRNA from 1 species
UGGGGGAUAUUGCACAAUGGGCGAAAGCCUGAUGCAGCGACGCCGCGUGGGGGAUGAAGGCUUUCGGGUUGUAAACCUCUUUCGCUAUCGAACAAGGCCCGCUUAGGGUGGGUUGAGGGUAGGUGGAGAAGAAGCGCCGGCUAACUACGUGCCAGCAGCCGCGGUAAUACGUAGGGCGCGAGCGUUGUCCGGAAUUAUUGGGCGUAAAGGGCUUGUAGGCGGCUUGUUGCGCCUGCUGUGAAAACGCGGGGCUUAACUUCGCGCGUGCAGUGGGUACGGGCAGGCUUGAGUGUGGUAGGGGUGACUGGAAUUCCAGGUGUAGCGGUGGAAUGCGCAGAUAUCUGGAGGAACACCGAUGGCGAAGGCAGGUCACUGGGCCAUUACUGACGCUGAGGAGCGAAAGCAUGGGUAGCUAACAGG